rnacentral:rRNA from 1 species
AUUGAACGCUGGCGGCAUGCCUUACACAUGCAAGUCGAACGGCAGCAUGGAGAGCUUGCUCUCUGAUGGCGAGUGGCGAACGGGUGAGUAAUGCAUCGGAACGUACCGUGUAAUGGGGGAUAACGUAGCGAAAGUUACGCUAAUACCGCAUACGACCUGAGGGUGAAAGCAGGGGAUCGCAAGACCUUGCGUUAUACGAGCGGCCGAUGUCAGAUUAGCUAGUUGGUGAGGUAAAGGCUCACCAAGGCGACGAUCUGUAGCGGGUCUGAGAGGAGGAUCCGCCACAAUGGGACUGAGAGACAGCCCAAGCUCCGACGGUAGGCAGCAGUGGGGAAGUUUGGAAAAUGGGGGCAACGCUGAUCCAGCAAUGCCGCGUGAGUGAAGAAGGCCUUCGGGUUGUAAAGCUCUUUCGGCCGGGAAGAAAUCGCACAGGCUAAUAAUCUGUGUGGAUGACGGUACCGGCAUAAGAAGCACCGGCUAACUACGUGCCAGCCGCCGCAGUAA